ACAUUUGGACAGCUCUGAUACUUGAUCCCGAGAUCUGCUUGAGUGCCACAAGGUAAGAGGGCUUUGCCAACUUACCGAAGCCCC
rnacentral:ribozyme from 1 species